rnacentral:rRNA from 1 species
CCUACGGGUGGCAGCAGUGAGGAAUAUUGGUCAAUGGACGAGAGUCUGAACCAGCCAAGUAGCGUGAAGGAUGACUGCCCUAUGGGUUGUAAACUUCUUUUAUAUGGGAAUAAAAUGUUCCACGUGUGGGAUUUUGUAUGUACCAUAUGAAUAAGGAUCGGCUAACUCCGUGCCAGCAGCCGCGGUAAUACGGAGGAUCCGAGCGUUAUCCGGAUUUAUUGGGUUUAAAGGGAGCGUAGGUGGAUUGUUAAGUCAGUUGUGAAAGUUUGCGGCUCAACCGUAAAAUUGUAGUUGAAACUGGCAGUCUUGAGUACAGUAGAGGUGGGCGGAAUUCGUGGUGUAGCGGUGAAAUGCUUAGAUAUCACGAAGAACUCCGAUUGCGAAGGCAGUUCACUGGACUGCAACUGACACUGAGGCUCGAAAGUGUGGGUAUCAAACAGGAUUAGAUACCCUAGUAGUC